AGGUGACUGAGCGCAGUCUGAGCGUCGGAGCGUCAGUAGCGUGUGCUGAGUGUUGAGUUGAGACGUUCUUAUUGUAGACGCACCCCGGACCAAGGCGCCCGCACCACACCCUCGUAAAGAAGCAUGUCGACUGUCACUAGUAGUACUAGUCGUAGCAUUACUCGACGUGACAAGAUUUUCGAAGGAAGUCUCUCGCCGAAGGAGCAGCAUAUCCCGGGCCCCGAUGAACCUGACUGCAUCUGCAACCGUGAAAUAAAGAACAUCAUCUGUACUAGCUGUGGCUUCAUAUUUCAAGGUCGAGCGAGAAUCCGCUGUAUGGUGCACCCAACCAUCAUUCACCUCAUGGACGUGGAGGUAUGCCCCACCUGCCAAGCUUGCAAACUGAGGGAAUUCUCUGAUGCUAUCAGUUUCGUCAGCUCCCAGAAGAGGGAUCAGCAUUGAAGACAGCCGUGUGAAAGCAUUGAGGGUCUGAAUGGGCUGAUAUCAUAUAUCAGUUUUAUAUUUUGUAGGCCUAUACUCGAUCUUGUUUCAAAUUGGUGUUCUUAGCUAUAGCAUUUGGGUUUGUUAUAGUUUUGUUUUUUGUUUUGUUUUUCUUUUCAAAUCAGAGGUAGUUAAUUGUUAUGUUGUAGUGCAGAAACUAUGUUAAUAAUAUUAUAUAUGCAGGAAUCCAUUGUUAGGAUUUUAUUAGUCAUAAAAGGCAGUUAACUAUGCUUGUGAUUUGAACAUUCACCCACUUCAUGACGUCAUUUCUGUUUAGUUACUAUUUUGUAUUGUUUUAUCAUAUGAUGUAAAUGUUACACUCAGAAUAUCGAAAUCUUUGUCAUAGGAAACAUUGAUGCACAUGCAGUUUUAGGUGUAGAUGAUCAAUAGGUAGUAUAGUCUUCAAUUAUUAUUCACCCUUAUUAUGGAUCACAUGUUUGCAGUUAGGGCUAGUAUUUCAUUAUAGAGUUACCGUCAUAUAUUUGUGCACAUCGUCAGGUAAAAUAUUAAAUGACAUAGUAUAAUAAUAUAUCAAUUGAA